CCUGGCUCAGAUUGAACGCUGGCGGCAUGCCUUACACAUGCAAGUCGAACGGCAGCGGACCUUCGGGUGCCGGCGAGUGGCGAACGGGUGAGUAAUAUAUCGGAACGUACCUUUCAGUGGGGAUAACGUAGCGAAAGUUACGCUAAUACCGCAUAUUCUGUGAGCAGGAAAGCAGGGGAUCGCAAGACCUUGCGCUGAUUGAGCGGCCGAUAUCAGAUUAGCUAGUUGGUGAGGUAAAGGCUCACCAAGGCGACGAUCUGUAGCGGGUCUGAGAGGAUGAUCCGCCACACUGGAACUGAGACACGGUCCAGACUCCUACGGGAGGCAGCAGUGGGGAAUUUUGGACAAUGGGCGCAAGCCUGAUCCAGCCAUGCCGCGUGAGUGAAGAAGGCCUUCGGGUUGUAAAGCUCUUUCGGCCGGGAAGAAAUCGCACGGGUUAAUACCCUGUGUGGAUGACGGUACCGGAAUAAGAAGCACCGGCUAACUACGUG
rnacentral:rRNA from 1 species